AAUCCCCUGCGGGGUUAGUGAUCGAUCGGUUUUUUGAGCCAACAUUAUUUGUCAGGGAGCCUCCUCUGACUGUGGAAGGCAUGUCCCCUAGCGGGAAUCCGGAAGCUGUUACCAAGGCGCCCACCUGUCUCAGACAGGUUCAAAUAUCAUCGACACGGCCGAGCGGGGGUAUG
rnacentral:other from 1 species